rnacentral:rRNA from 1 species
AACGCGAAGAACCUUACCUGGGUUUGACAUGUACCGGAAGGUCGUGGAGACGCGGCUGCCCUUGUGGCCGGUGCACAGGUGGUGCAUGGCUGUCGUCAGCUCGUGUCGUGAGAUGUUGGGUUAAGUCCCGCAACGAGCGCAACCCUUGUCCCGUGUUGCCAGCAAGUGAUGUUGGGGACUCGCGGGAGACUGCCGGGGUCAACUCGGAGGAAGGUGGGGACGAAGUCAAGUCAUCAUGCCCCUUAUGCCCAGGGCUUCACACAUGCUACAAUGGCCGGUACAGAGGGUGGCGAUGUCGUGAGGCGGAGCGAAUCCCUUAAAGCCGGUCUCAGUUCGGAUCGGGGUCUGCAACUCGACCCCGUGAAGGUGGAGUCGCUAGUAAUCGCAGAUCAGCAGUGCUGCGGUGAAUACGUUCCCGGGCCUUGUACACACCGCGAGC